rnacentral:rRNA from 1 species
CGGAGGAUCCAAGCGUUAUCCGGAAUCAUUGGGUUUAAAGGGUCCGUAGGCGGUUUUAUAAGUCAGUGGUGAAAUCUGGUCGCUCAACGAUCAAACGGCCAUUGAUACUGUAAGACUUGAAUUACUUGGAAGUAACUAGAAUAUGUAGUGUAGCGGUGAAAUGCUUAGAGAUUACAUGGAAUACCAAUUGCGAAGGCAGGUUACUACAAGUGGAUUGACGCUGAUGGACGAAAGCGUGGGGAGCGAACAGGAUUAGAUACCCUGGUAGUCCACGCCGUAAACGAUGGAUACUAGCUGUUCGGAGCAAUCUGAGUGGCUAAGCGAAAGUGAUAAGUAUCCCACCUGGGGAGUACGUUCGCAAGAAUG